GCGCGGCAAGCGCGGGCGGGCGGGCGCUGCUGUGGCGCCAGCGCCGCGGCUCCGUCACGGGCCCAGCCCGGGUGGGGCCGGGCGGGAGCGCGCCCUGGGCCCGGGGCUGAAGUGAAUGAAGUGGGGUUUCAUAUUCAACAAGAGGCGGGAGUGAUCUCUUCUCUGUGGUGACCAGUGACAGGAGCCGAGAGAAUGGCCUGGAGCUCCGUCAGGGGAGGUUUAGGUUGGAGAUCAGGAAAGGGUUCGUCACCCAGAGGUGGCCGGGCACUGGAUCGGGCUCCCCCGGGAAGCGGGCACAGCACCAGCCUGAGAGAAUUGGAAAGCUUUAGGACAACGCUUUCAGACACAUGCUUUGAUUCUUAGGACUGUCGUGUGUAGAGCCUUGGACUCGGUGGUCCCUGUGGGACUGGUGAUGCCCGCCGAGGGGAAGGAGGGCUGAGCACUGCCCCGGGGGCAGGGCCCGCCGAGGCACCGGGCGUGUCCCUCAGCCUGGCAGGAUGCGGAGGCCUCGGAGAGCGCCAGCAAGGCUCGGCCAGCCCGUGGCCUGGGGAACCCCAAACCCUCUGCGUGCCGCUGUGGGACGGAGCCCUUGGGCUGCUGGGGCCGCUGAUGUUGGCUAGUGGGUUGCCAGCAGCUCUCCCUCCUUGGCUCUCCGUUGUCUCUGGUAACCAGGAGCCUGAGGAAGGGCAGUGGAACGUCCCUUCUGCCUCUUGCACAGCUUCAAGUCUGCAAUUCAUGGCUUCUGGAGGUUUUAAAACCCUAUGUCAGCAUCAUAGUGACUGUGUAAAUCAAACGAUUUAUUUGUGCACCUCAGCCAGCCCGCCAGCCUCCUUUACCCACUUGAAGCUGAAAUGGGAUCAACAAGACUGUGCAGCGCAUCCCUCUGCUCAUGUCCGACCAGUUCACAGUCCUUAAACACUUAACCAAUGACCUCAUGUGCUUAAAAUUAGAACCAUACAUGCAUUUUUGUCUUCGAGAAGUUAGUAGUGUUUACACAACAGCAGCUUUUGCUGGAAAACCAGCCAAACCCUUCACCAAAUUCUAAAAAUAAUCUGGAAAAAAUGCAAGAAACCCCCCAACUUCCUCUGCACCAGAAGCAAAACAGUGGGUCCAAAUUUCCAUUGCAAUAUUUUGACAGAUUUGUGUAGCUAAGGCUGUAAACAUCUUCAUAAAUUCUGUAAACACAAUCCUUGUUCUGGAAAAGCUUCCUUAGGAAAACACUUCGGAAGGCACUUCAUAAGUUGUGUAUCUAUCUUCAGGAAGCUCUUAUGUGCUUAUGAAAGAGCACUGACUGUUAUACAUUACUGAUAAAUAACACAUACAUAUGCAUCUGUAUGUAUAGGUAAACACACCAGUAAGUGUAUGUUUAAUUCUGGCUAUAUUAAUCCUGGUGUCAUUCAAGAGGUACCCCCAGCUCCUCAGCACUGGUCAGCCCACAGUGGAGUUUUCCACAUAUUUGGGAAAACAGCUGAUGCAGGCACAGGCAGAGAACAUCCCCAUGCUGUAGGAGCAGCGUAACUGGACUCGCUCUUUGCACAUUCAGCAUCCUGUUGCUCUGAGCAUGCAUGAUUUGUCAGUCUGGAAAUGAGACAGGUUCCCAGCUCAUCCUCAGACCAAAGCCUCCCAAACCCUGGCAAGGGCUUCUGUGAAUUCUAGUUGGCUCCUCACACAGUGGAACUACCAACUGCAAAGGAAAUUCCAGGGUCCUUCAUUUUACUGGGAAAGAAAUAAUCCAAGAUUGGGUUUAUUUGAGGCUUCAUGUUUCCCCCAGGUAGGAAAAUGCAGGGACAAUGACUGAGGAGCUGCAUGCAGGAGAAGGUGACCACCGAGAUGGUCCUGUCAUAACUCAGUCACUCUCCAAAGAGACAAAGCAGAAGAAAGGCAGUGGCCUGAGCACAAAAAUAGCCUGGAAGGAGAAAGCUUCAAACUGUCUGAGACCUGCAACUAAAAUAUGCCAAAAGUUAUUGCUGCUUCAAGUAGCAUUAAGCCCUGCUUGGUGCCCAGCAGGAGCUAUGUAUAUUUAGUGAAUGGCUUCAACUUUGGCACUGAAAAUGUGAAUAGUCCACCACCUUACCAGGACCCAAAUCCCACCCACUACUGUACUAGUGAUUUCAGACACUGGCUGGAAUGAAACCUUUUCCCACAAUUUUCAAAUUCAGUUCUCAACAGCAAAAGGGUGAGAGGUUCAGAAAUAACAUGGGAACAGGUGACCACUGAGAUGUGAAAAAAGCAGAGCAAACUCAUGCUCUUUAUUGGCUUUCAUUACACCAGGACUGUAUUGUGGAAAACUAAAUGAAAGACCUGGCAAAUAUGAAAGAGUAAAAUACCUCCAGCUGCAUGCAGUAAUGCUUCAGUAGAAUUAAGGAGUCCUGAGGUUAUUACAAACUACAGGUACAGGUCUCCAUGGAUUGUUUACCUUCAUGAGGGACACUGGAAAAAAAAAUACAUGUAUUCUGAAUAUAUGUAGACUUUGUAAAUAUGUUAAUAGUUGCAAUCAAGGUUCUGAUUUUGCUGUCAGAAUCAUUAGGAAGUAUAAUCUAAGUGGAAAGUUAAGUAACAUAAUUUGUUCUAAUAUUUUAAACCUGCAAACAAAUAAGUUGAUUGUUUUUGUUUUUGUUUUGUUUUUUUUUUUUUAAUAGCAAGCCAUACCUUUUGGGAAUACUCUCAUCGUGUAUGUGCAAAAUACCUCCCCAAAAUAUUUAAAGACAUGUGUCAGGCCAGAAUUUGUCUCAAAGUCAGUUGUACUUAAAUUUAGUAGUUGAGUUUGUGUCUUCACUUUUUCUGGGUAACUGAAGGUUUUUAUUCUUUCUAUGCCAUUACAAAGAACUGCCCUACAAAUAUCUAUGUAAGACCUUUAUAUGAAAACAUUAAAUAAAAGAAGCAUUUGUCACUGACAUCUGGGACAGAUGGGAGAAGGAUAAUAAAAUCACAGUACAACUUUGUAGUUUCAUAAAUUUCUUGCAUAUCCCCAAGGCCUCUAAAAUGGUAUUAGAAAAUCUACUCCAGAGAAGAGAGAAUUGCUUCUUAAACAUAUGGGUUGACAGUGGUCUGAAGAAACUUGUAAGGGCAGUUUCUCCAUCCCUGGGCAUGUCUCUGAUGGCCUAAAAAACCAGAAGGGUCUUGUAAACUGGUCCCACUAUGUUAAAGAUCUCUGUACUGUCUCUUAAUAAUCAUAGCUAAAAAUAGCUAGUUUUGAUUGUUUCCUUCAGCUUUGAUAUCUCAUCUUUCUUUUGAUGCCCCCAGUCUCUUCAGCCAUACAGCCAGCUUCUUCCCACAUCUGAAGAGUUUCAAAAGGAAGCUAGCAAGCCACCAUUGCACUGAGGUAGAACCACAAUGAAACCUGGGGCAAUGGCAACUUUGUGAAUUUCACCCCUUGUUUUCUUCUGUUGCAGCAUUUUUUUACUGUUGUGGCUUUUAGUAGUGGUUUCAAACUUACUUUUUAAAUAAGUUUCAUUUUUUUUCUUUCCUCCUUUUUUUUUUUUUUUUGUAGUUUGAAUUUCGAUUACUAUCUUGGCAGAGGAGCAGUUGUUGCUGAGUAAGAACUGGAUGCAUCUCCUCCUCCUGCGUCAGGACUGCUGACAUGAACAAGUGGGAGGAAGAUCAAGCUCCGGCAAGGACGGACUUCAGGAGCUGCUUCAUUCUUCUUUCACACGGAUGGGAGUGUCACAGCACGCUUUCCAGUCUAAUCAGUCUCAACACAGCCUUGCACAACUCAGCCUGCUUUAAGCUUUUAACCAGGGUGUAGGAGUUCAGAAAAAAAACCACCUCCCUUCCCCCAAGAAAAAUGUAAUUGCAAAGAUUUGUUUCAAUGUAGCAAGUGCAGUAAACUCGAAUUACUGAAAGGCAA